rnacentral:rRNA from 1 species
UAACGCGUGGGCAACCUGCCCUCCAGUUGGGGACAACAUUCCGAAAGGGAUGCUAAUACCGAAUGUGCUCCCUCCUCCGCAUGGAGGAGGGAGGAAAGAUGGCCUCUGCUUGCAAGCUAUCGCUGGAAGAUGGGCCCGCGUCUGAUUAGCUAGUUGGUGGGGUAACGGCUCACCAAGGCGAUGAUCAGUAGCCGGUCUGAGAGGAUGAACGGCCACAUUGGGACUGAGACACGGCCCAAACUCCUACGGGAGGCAGCAGUGGGGAAUCUUCCGCAAUGGACGAAAGUCUGACGGAGCAACGCCGCGUGAGUGAUGAAGGUCUUCGGAUUGUAAAACUCUGUUGUUAGGGACGAAAGCACCGUGUUCGAACAGGUCAUGGUGUUGACGGUACCUAACGAGGAAGCCACGGCUAACUACGUGCCAGCAGCCGCGGUAAUACGUAGGUGGCAAGCGUUGUCCGGAAUUAUUGGGCGUAAAGAGCAUGUAGGCGGGCUUUUAAGUCUGACGUGAAAAUGCGGGGCUUAACCCCGUAUGGCGUUGGAUACUGGAAGUCUUGAGUGCAGGAGAGGAAAGGGGAAUUCCCAGUGUAGCGGUGAAAUGCGUAGAUAUUGGGAGGAACACCAGUGGCGAAGGCGCCUUUCUGGACUGUGCCUGACGCUGAGAUGCGAAAGCCAGGGUAGCAAACGGGAUUAGAUACCCCGGU